rnacentral:misc_RNA from 1 species
UCCGCCUUGGAGGCGGCAGUCUCCCAUGAAAAAUCAACAUAGGAUGAGGGUUGCGCUCGUUGGCUGACUUAACAGUACACCUCAAGGCACGAGCUGACGACGACCGUGCAUCGCCUGUCUUUAGGUUCCUUGCGGCACUAACGCAUUUCUGCGAAAUUCCUAAGAUGUCAAGCCUGGGUGAGGUUCUUCGCUUAUCAUCGAAUUAAACCCCACGCUCCACCGCUUGUGUGGGUCCCCGUCUAUUCCUUUGAGUUUUAGCCUUGCGGCCGUACUUCUCAGGCGGCGUGCUUACCGCGUAAGCUUAGGGCACAGAGACCAAUUGAAAGUCCCUACACCGAGCACGCAUCGUUUAGGGCGUGGACUAC